ACGUAGGGGGCAAGUGUUGCUCGGAAUUACUGGGCGUAAAGGGUGUGUAGGUGGCUGAUUAAGUUAAGGAUGAAAUCCCGAGAAUAAAGGGAGGAACUGUCCUUGAUACUGGUCAGCUUGAGGCUAGUAAAGGAGAGCGGAAUUCCCGGUGGAGCGUUGAAAUGCGUAGAUAUCGGGAGGAACACCAGAGGCGUAGGCGGUUCUCUAGGCUAGUCCUCACACUGAGACACGAAAGCUAGUGGAGCAAACGG
rnacentral:rRNA from 1 species